UGAGGAAUCUUCCGCAAUGGACGAAAGUCUGACGGAGCAACGCCGCGUGCAGGAUGACGGCCUUCGGGUUGUAAACUGCUUUUAUAUGGGAAGAUUGUGACGGUACCAUAUGAAUAAGGACCGGCUAACUACGUGCCAGCAGCCGCGGUAAUACGUAGGGUCCAAGCGUUAUCCGGAAUCACUGGGCGUAAAGAGUGCGUAGGCGGGUAUUUAAGUGUAAUGCGAAAUUCUGGGGCUCAACCCCAUGAACUGUAUUGCAUACUGGAUACCUAGAGGAUAUGAGAGGCAAGUGGAAUUACCGGUGUAGCAGUGAAAUGCGUAGAUAUCGGUAGGAACACCAAUGGCGAAGGCAGCUUGCUGGCAUAUUUCUGACGCUAAGGCACGAAAGCGUGGGGAGCGAACAG
rnacentral:rRNA from 1 species